rnacentral:rRNA from 1 species
CGGUACCAGAGAAGCUUGCUUCUCUUGAGAGCGGCGGACGGGUGAGUAAAGCCUAGGAAUCUGCCUGAUAGUGGGGGAUAACGUUCGGAAACGGACGCUAAUACCGCAUACGUCCUACGGGAGAAAGCAGGGGACCUUCGGGCCUUGCGCUAUCAGAUGAGCCUAGGUCGGAUUAGCUAGUUGGUGAGGUAAUGGCUCACCAAGGCGACGAUCCGUAACUGGUCUGAGAGGAUGAUCAGUCACACUGGAACUGAGACACGGUCCAGACUCCUACGGGAGGCAGCAGUGGGGAAUAUUGGACAAUGGGCGAAAGCCUGAUCCAGCCAUGCCGCGUGUGUGAAGAAGGUCUUCGGAUUGUAAAGCACUUUAAGUUGGGAGGAAGGGCAUUAACCUAAUACGUUAGUGUUUUGACGUUACCGACAGAAUAAGCACCGGCUAACUCUGUGCCAGCAGCCGC